UUCUGUAGUUGCUCCUUGGGAGACAGGACGGGGGCGCUGCAGAGAUGAGUUGUCUAAAGUUACUCCAUGGGAGGAAGGAGUGAAGAGAUUGGCAAACCCACAGAAGAGGGGAAAACCGGGAGUAUGGAAACAGCUAAGACAAAGAGAGCAAGAAGCAGCAAAUGGACAUUGGAUGCUGUGUAGAGGUUCCCAGAGCCGGAACCCGGAGUAGAGGGUGGGCUUGGGUUUCCCUACCAACCACUGCGGGAGUGGAACUGUGAGGCAGUGAAGCAGAAGACAGUCUGAGACAACUGGAGAGCUGGAACCUUGAUGCACUCUCCCCACCCAGAAGGGGAAACCACAACACUGACCUAGCCAGAGGGCUGAGUCACAAAGAGGAUGCUGUGGUUCCUGGAGCAGAAGAGGGGCUGUAGAGGAGACCCUGAGGUGUCGGCCUGAUUGAGCUAAUCCCCCAGAACUACCAGGAGUGCUGUCCAGAGUGGUUAUCUGGCUGCUGGAAGCUGUCAUUCUUCUUCUUCUUUUUUUUAAAUGAACAGUUUGUAUCAAAGUAUUCUGCUAGAUUACAAAUCAAAUCCCUCCCUUCCUGGUACUGUUGUCCUUAAGGAAGCAAGAAGUUCACCAGACACCAAUUGUUUUAGAUUCAUGCAUGACACCAACACCUGUUUUUGAGCUUCAGCUCCUAGCUCUCUGGCUGAAGGAGGAGUGCAGGACUUUAUGCACUUAGAAGUUGAGGAUGACCUUCUGUUAUGACAUCUUAAUAUGUAAGAUAUUCAAGGUGAUUAUUCACUGGCAUUAUUUCCAAUGUAGUAUCUAUUUUGUUGAUAGAAAAUAAUCUCCAGUAAGAGCAGAAGCUUUGCUGUUGCAUCAGUCCAAAUAAUUAUGGGCUCAAUCCUCAGCUGGUGUAAACAGGCAUAAUCCCCAUUGAAAUGUCUCUGUUAGGCUGUGUACAAGUGAAAUGGAUACUGUGGUCGCUUUUUAGUAAGAUUCUCUUAAAAGCAUAAUGGCACAAUUAAACUUUAUAUUGUUGUCCUGCAUAACCUUGUCAGUAUCUUGUGCACUAUCUCUGCAGAUUUGUACUUGAGUGCUUCACAGGGGAAAAUGCUUUCCAAAUGCAUUUAAUUUCCAGGUUUAUGUGGGUGCCCUUCUACCACCUGCUCAUAUGUAGUUAUGUGGAUAAGCUGCACAAAAUAGCAAUGUGACUUUAAAAGCUGGUUUACAUUCAAGUAUACUGCACUUGUUGUUAUGUAAAUAUAUUUUUCCCCUUUACUGAAUAAGAAACUGAUAAGGCUCAGAGACAAAAAUAGUGAUUUUUCUGAGAGAAGGUAAUCUUGAAGAUUAUGUAACCAUGUACAUGGAGCGGGACACAGGUUUUUGGAAAAGUGCAUUCUGAAACUGAUGUGCAAUCUUUGAGCUUGAUAGAUGUCCACUGAAGUCAAUAGGAAUUUUUCCAUUGACUUCAGUUUAUAUUGGAUCAGGACCUUUGUUUACUGCUGUGGUAAUAGGAGGAGAAAUCAGGCAACAAAUCUGAGGGACCUAUAGCUGGGGAAUUUAUAAAACUACUCAAAGAAGCUUUAAAGAAUUAGCAAAGAGGUCGGUUGACUUCAGUGGGAAAAUGGACAAAAUGUAAUCACAUGUUGAAACAAUUGCCUAUCACCUAACCCAGAGAAGACAAGAAUAGUGUGACAACUUGAAGACAAGACUGGAAACAAUAAACAAACCCAAACAGUUUACUGACACUACUGUACUGUCUUGGUUAAUAUAAGAAAUGGUUUAUAUGUUUUCCCCGUUAUUGCUGUUAAAUUACAUGUACUGUGUUUCAGUUUAGGUUUCCAAGAA